rnacentral:rRNA from 1 species
AUACGGAGGACGCGAGCGUUAUCCGGAUUCAUUGGGUUUAAAGGGUGCGCAGGCGGCCGUGCAAGUCAGCGGUGAAAGCCCGGGGCUCAACCCCGGAAGUGCCGUUGAUACUGCAUGGCUUGAAUGCGGUCGAGGCGGGCGGAACGGGGCGUGUAACGGUGAAAUGCGUAGAUAUGCCACAGAACGCCGAUAGCGGAGGCAGCUCGCCAGGCCUGCAUUGACGCUCGGGCACGAAAGCGUGGGGAUCGAACAGGAUUAGAUACCCUGGUAGUCCACGCCGUAAACGAUGGGCGCUCGUCGUCGGCGGCAGACAGUCGGCGGCCAAGCGAAAGCGAUAAGCGCCCCACCUGGGGAGUACGGUCGCAAGGCUGAAACUCAAAUGAAUUGACGGGG